CCUACGGGCGGCUGCAGUCGAGAAUCAUUCACAAUGGGGGAAACCCUGAUGGUGCGACGCCGCGUGGGGGAAUGAAGUUCUUCGGAUUGUAAACCCCUGUCAUGUGGGAGCAAAUUAAAAAGAUAGUACCACAAUAGGAAGAGACGGCUAACUCUGUGCCAGCAGCCGCGGUAAUACAGAGGUCUCAAGCGUUGUUCGGAAUCACUGGGCGUAAAGCGUGCGUAGGCUGUUUCGUAAGUCGUGUGUGAAAGGCGCGGGCUCAACCCGCGGACGGCACAUGAUACUGCGAGACUAGAGUAAGGGAGGGGGAACCGGAAUUCUCGGUGUAGCAGUGAAAUGCGUAGAUAUCGAGAGGAACACUCGUGGCGAAGGCGGGUUCCUGGACAGUAACUGACGCUGAGGCACGAAGGCCAGGGGAGCGAAAGGGAUUAGAUACCCGUGUAGUC
rnacentral:rRNA from 1 species